rnacentral:misc_RNA from 1 species
GUGAAUCAUCAAAUUUUUGAACGCAAAUUGCACUCUCUUCGGUGAGUAUGCGUGUUUCAGGGUCAGCCUAUAAAAAAUCGACCUCGUAGCUGUUUCGCGGUGGCGUUCGUCGGAAAUUGGGUCAUCUUAUAUCCUUUUGGUUUUUAAGAGACUUAAAAUUUUCUUUUUGGUUCCCUGAUCGUUUCUAAGUUUUAUUUCAUUACACGUUUAUGGUAUC